rnacentral:misc_RNA from 1 species
CGUUAUAGUAGGAGUGAACCUGCGUAAGGGAAUGGAAGUGGAAGGUGGACUUCUGUCUGUCUGCCUUGCUUGUCGAAGCCGGGCAUCUAAACGAACCGAUCUCGUCUUCGCCUCACGAUCAGCUUGCUGGAAGCUCGAUGCUACACCGGCACGUUCCGCGGCUCCUCUAACCGCGCUACUCACAGGUGCACCGUGAUACCAUCUGCCACAGAUCAUUGGACAUCGUCCUUCAAACGGAUGCUGCAUUUUUAUUUUCCUCCUUUCCAACAAUCGAAUGGGUCUUCUACCGAUCCGAAAUCCGUUCUUGAAAGAUUGACAAGACAACCUUCAUUGGAAGUAAAUGCAAGAUUAAGACGAAUACAGGAUGUCCUAGCUUUUUCCAUGAUAGACAAACAUUGUCGGAAUGUUCUAUCGGUACAAAGGAAGAAAAGAUGUAAACGCAAGUUUAAAGUUUAUUAGAAAGUUAGAAGAAAAUCAGCUGAUUCCAAAUUGCCCGGAAUACAACGUGAAAUGGAAAAAUAAUUUAAACACGGAAAAACUGAUGAGCAAGUUUAUCGUGUAAAUUGUACUCUUCGGGUAAUAAAACUGUG